UACGGGGGGAGCAAGCGUUGUUCGGAUUUACUGGGCGUAAAGGGCGCGUAGGCGGCCAGCACAAGUCAGUUGUGAAAAUCUCCGAGCUUAACUCGGAAAGGUCAACUGAUACUGUGCGGCUAGAGUGCGGAAGGGGCAACUGGAAUUCUUGGUGUAGCGGUGAAAUGCGUAGAUAUCAAGAGGAACACCUGCGGCGAAGGCGGCUCUCUGGGACGGUACUGACGCUGAGGAGCGAAAGCAUGGGGGAGCGAACAGG
rnacentral:rRNA from 1 species